CAUAGUCAACUUGCUUUAACACUGGCAUGUCAUCAUUGAACCAGUAGACUAGUAGUUCUUACAGAUUUAAUUUACCUAUUUAAGUGAUAGGAUAACCUACAUCAGAAGCAAGAAAAUAACAAAGGAAUAGAAUUACUUCCCAGGAAAGCAGCAAAGCGGAAAUACAACUUGAGAAUAUAAAUAAACGUCCACUGAAUCAGAAUCGGGGGGAAAAAAGAAGUUAAAAAAUGCUUCUUAAUCUAACUUUUAAUAUUUAGCUACUUAAAAAUCCUUUUUAAGUUAAAAUAAAACAACACAUACAGACCUUAGCUUUCAUGGGAUCUGCUCUGCACACCAGGUGAUAGAGGCCCAGUGCAGCAGGUGAUGGAGGCUCAGGUGGUGGAGGCCCGGAGCAGCAAGUGAUGGAGUCCCAGGUGAUAGAGGUCCAGUGCAGCAGCCUGAGAAAACUCAUCCAGCUAGAAAAAGGAGGUAUCCUACUGGACAAAGAAGAGAAUUUGCUAGAUGUGGAAGCAGUUCAGACGAGGAAGGUCACCCCGGUCUUCCGCAGGCAGAUAUUUCCUGGUAUCCGUAUCCUUCUACCACAUGAAGAGCUCACAGGCUACACGGGACGGACAGAUGUAAAUAAAUAUAGAAAUGUGUUAAGAGCUACAGUGGAGGAGCAUGCAAUGGAUGAUUUCAAUGCUUGUCAAAGUAUCUUAAUGUCCCACUUUUAAAAAAUCCAAUAAUACUUUGGGCAUCAUCUGGGGCUUAGAAAAAGAACGUAAAAAGAAGGUA
rnacentral:lncRNA from 1 species